rnacentral:lncRNA from 1 species
CUUGACAACAAAACAAAAACCGAAAGUAUCCCUCAACAUCACUACAACUUAACUAAAACUUAACAGAGAAACAUCAUUCCUACAACUGAACUAAAAUUGAAAGCAUCCAUCAUCAUCAUCAUCAUCAUCAUCAUCAUCAUCAUCAUCAGUAUAUUUGCCACGCGCCCAUAUAAUCAUCCAUUUAUCUUUUGAACCUACAAACAAAAAACAAAAUGAACUGUUAACACACAAUGCAUUAACAAAAAACAAAAAACUGAAUGACUUUUUGUGGUAAUGUAAGUGUAAUUAGAGAAUGUGUAAUACAUUUUGAACAUCUCACAGCGGGUUGUUUUAUGUCAUGGAUUCAGAUGAAAAAAAAGGUGGCCACUAUUGGACGAUAAAACUGGAAACUCAAACUAAAAUAUUCCAAGGAAUAUUUAGAAGGGACCAUGUAUCUAUGUUUCUGCAGAAAGAGGCGUUCUGGCUCCUAUAUAUGGGAUGAACACUUAAAAGGAGGACAUUUAUUUUGUUUUGGUGAUAUACAGAAAAUCCAUUGAAAUAUUCCAACGGGUCAUUUAUGUUGAAGAGUUUCCAAAGAAACCCAUUGUAAGACUUAACAAAUGCAUAUGUAUGCAUAUCAAAUAUAUGGUAUACAUACUCAUCUAGAAGAUAUAUUUUUCGUGCAUGAUACAUACAUGUAGCUUAAUUUUUUUCCUUUUAAAUAGUACAUCAAAUCAUGGAUUAAUUAAUAGAUUUAUUUGGCUCGUACUGAUUUGAGAUGGUUUUGCUCUCUUUCGUAUAGGAUCAGAACAAAAACAUAGAUUGAGAGCUCAAAAAAAUAUAGAUCAUAUACUACACAUACCAAUAUCACAAAAUGUGUGGCUGUGAUAUACGUAUUGUAAGCAUCAUUAAUCCUCUUUUAGUUUAGCCCCACUGCAACUAAUCAUAUGAUCCAUGCUCUCCAAACUUAUAUGAGCUCAUCAUCCAUGCAUCAUGCGAAAAGGUGUAAAGUAGUAAUAAGAAAUUAUCCUAGAAAUCAAACCUCUAGUCCAGUACAUGCAUGUAUAAAAUAGAACAGUAUGAAGCCAAUACCUACACACCUGGAGGAACGGGAUUGCCAAAGCGUGGAUCAGAAGUUCAUUCAGCCAUUAUACGUCCUCGGUGGGAUCUCAACUUGAUUAUCCUAUUCAUCGCCUAGGCUUUCGUCAGGUAAUCUGUAUUGACGUGCUCAGUGAGCUUCCUUUUUUUGUUACCGACCUUUUCCUAUUAUGUGAAAAGGAAAAAUUGUGGCAAACAGGUUACACACUUUCAACAUGAAUCAGAAGCAUACAACAUGAGUCUUCCCUUCAGUAUAUUUUCCAUUAUAUGAGAAUGGAAAUACAUGUAUGCAAGGUCAUAUUUUGUGCUUAACGAAAUAAUUGGAGACUCAACUUAUCUACUCACAAUGCAUGCCU